rnacentral:rRNA from 1 species
UACAGAGGUCUCAAGCGUUGUUCGGAUUCAUUGGGCGUAAAGGGUGCGUAGGCGGCGCGGUAAGUCGGGUGUGAAAUCUCGGGGCUUAACUCCGAAACUGCAUUCGAUACUGCCGUGCUUGAGGACUGGAGAGGAGACUGGAAUUUACGGUGUAGCGGUGAAAUGCGUAGAUAUCGGGAAGAACACCCGUGGCGAAGGCGGUUCUCUGGGACGGUACUGACGCUGAGACGCGAAAGCGUGGGGAGCAAACAGG